AUUGAACGCUGGCGGCAGGCUUAACACAUGCAAGUCGAACGCAUCGCAAGAUGAGUGGCAGACGGGUGAGUAACGCGUGGGAACAUACCCUUUUCUACGGAAUAGCUCUGGGAAACUGGAAUUAAUACCGUAUACGCCCUACGGGGGAAAGAUUUAUCGGGGAAGGAUUGGCCCGCGUUGGAUUAGCUAGUUGGUGGGGUAAAGGCCUACCAAGGCGACGAUCCAUAGCUGGUCUGAGAGGAUGAUCAGCCACAUUGGGACUGAGACACGGCCCAAACUCCUACGGGAGGCAGCAGUGGGGAAUAUUGGACAAUGGGCGCAAGCCUGAUCCAGCCAUGCCGCGUGAGUGAUGAAGGCCUUAGGGUUGUAAAGCUCUUUCACCGAUGAAGAUAAUGACGGUAGUCGGAGAAGAAGCCCCGGCUAACUUCGUGCCAGCCGCCGCCGUAA
rnacentral:rRNA from 1 species